rnacentral:rRNA from 1 species
UACGAAGGGGGCUAGCGUUGCUCGGAAUCACUGGGCGUAAAGCGCGUGUAGGCGGCUUCGUAAGUCUGGUGUGAAAGCCCGGGGCUCACCCCCGGAAGUGCACUGGAAACUGCAAGGCUCGAGUACCGGAGAGGAGGGUGGAAUUCCUGGUGUAGCGGUGAAAUGCGUAGAUAUCAGGAGGAACACCGGUGGCGAAGGCGGCCCUCUGGACGGAUACUGACGCUGAGACGCGAAAGCGUGGGGAGCAAACAGG